rnacentral:rRNA from 1 species
CCUACGGGAGGCAGCAGUGGGGAAUAUUGCACAAUGGGGGAAACCCUGAUGCAGCGACGCCGCGUGAGUGAAGAAGUAUUUCGGUUUGUAAAGCUCUAUCAGCAGGGAAGAAGAAAUACGGUACCUGACUAAGAAGCCCCGGCUAACUACGUGCCAGCAGCCGCGGUAAUACGUAUGGGGCAAGCGUUAUCCGGAUUUAAUGGGUGGAAAUGUAACGUAGUCGGUUGUGCAAGUCUAAAGGGAAAACCUCGGGGUCAACCCUGGGACUGCUUUGGAAACUGUGGAGCUAGAGGGCGGGAGAGGUAAGUGGAAUUCCUAGUGUAGCGGUGAAAUGCGUAGAUAUUAGGAGGAACAUCAGUGGCGAAGGCGGCUUACUGGACAGUAACUGACGUUGAGGCUCGAAAGCGUGGGGAGCAAACAGGAUUAGAUACCCGGGUAGUC